UGUGUUGUGCGCAGCCCCGUCCGUGAUGCCGUCGACCCUCGCUAGUGGUCGACGCCGCGCUUCGCGCUUGGCUCAUUCGACGAAACGCCAAGCCUUGUGGACAGCCCAUGUGACUAGCCUCGAUUCGUCCAGGUUGUUCACUUGGUAUUUUGUGGAUUAAUCUGUUUAAGCUUGGUCGAUGUUGUGCAUGUGUGUAUAUGUGUAAUAAAAUGUAUUGGUAUGGAUUGAAGUUCGUGGCGAAAGAAAAAGAAGUAGAAAAGAACUCGGAUGUUUUUAUAUUUCGAUAGGAAUUUAUGCGAUGUGUUGUUUGAUGUGUGCAAUUUGUAGUUUGUAUAAGUAUAUUUUGGUCGAUGUGGUGUA